rnacentral:rRNA from 1 species
UACAGAGGGUGCGAGCGUUGUUCGGAAUUAUUGGGCGUAAAGCGCUUGUAGGCGGCACGUCAAGUCGCGUGUGAAAUCCCCAGGCUUAACCUGGGAAGUGCGCGCGAAACUGACGAGCUUGAGUGCCGGAGAGGGUCGCGGAAUUCCCGGUGUAGAGGUGAAAUUCGUAGAUAUCGGGAGGAACACCAGUGGCGAAGGCGGCGACCUGGACGGACACUGACGCUGAGACGCGACAGCGUGGGGAGCAAACAGG